GGCUCCCAGGAGAUGACUGGGUUGAUAGGCCAGAUGUGGAAGCGCUGUAAGGUGUGGAGCUGACUGGUACUAAUAAGCCGAUGACUUGACUUC
rnacentral:rRNA from 1 species